CCUCGUUCUCCAUGCGCUGCAGCCCCUCGCGCAUCGCACCCGCAUUCGCAGAUAAGCCCUCCUCCCACACACGAACCGGCGGGGCGUGCGGCGGAUGGCCUUGGCCAAGCAGCCGUACUACGACUGCGUCGAGCGCACGCUGUUGGCUGCGCUGUGCUUGCAGUCUUUUGCCUCCGACGUGACGGAGGGGUGCGCCGUGCCAGAGGUGGAGCAGGUGCCGCUCGACGCGGGCACCGGUGCCCCGCCGUCUUCAUUCCUUGUCCACCGUGCCACCGCCGACGCAGCGUUGCGGUGCCACGCACUGCGGCUGCAGUGGAGCAGCGGGGACGAAUGCCUCAUUGAGGGAUCGUGUGACAGCACCCGCGUGUCUUUCUGGUUUGCAGCGGCACACCAGCCCGACGACGCCCUUUCGGCGCAGCUGCUUAGCGAAUACAUAGCGUUCUUCUGCUCUCACGGCGCCGCAACCGGUGCACUGCCGAUCCUUCGCUGCAUCCCGGUGAGAAGGACCUCUGCAGGGAAACCGGCAGCGGAUAAGGCAGGCCAAACCACCUACGACGUAUCGUUCUUAGUGCUGGCCGAGCACGUGUACAAGUACGGCCGGCAGCGCCUGGCGCGGUCGAUACUGACGUUCGUCCAGGAGGUCGAGGCCGCCGUGGCGAACUUGAAGGUGUCGCUGAACGCCAGGCGGCGCGCAGCUGCUCAGGCGUUUUUCGCACUGCCUGAGUAGGCGGACGGAGAGCAGGGGUGGGUGGGGGCAAGGGGACGGUGGGUUGAUGUCCGUGUGUGUGUUGUGUUGUGUGUUGUGUGCUGUGUGUGUGUGUGUGCACACUCCCUGUUAACCGUGUGUCUCAGCCUCGCCCCCUUCUCCACGUGGAGCUCACGGCGGAUGAAGAGCUCAAGCGCGCGCACGACGGCGGCGAUAGGCACCUCAGCCCUAAUGUGCUGGUGCGCACUCAAUCCGUGCCCUCUCCAACACCUCGUUGUUUUCCUCUAGGGGCGAUCUCUUCAUGUUUCGUUGCUGUAGGUUCCCUUGAGCACGUGGUCUCCGGCUGCCGCCAGGCGGUGGAUGCGCCACCACGACGUGUUGACUCUGUUGAAUGGAACCGAAGCACCGGGCCGAAGCAGUGUGUUCGCACGUCGCUUCGCUCGGUGGAUGUGCGUGUUUCUGGGGGGUGUAUGCUCUCACUCACGCACACGUGCCGCCUGCGCCGAGGUGUCCUCGAUCCGGGCAAAAUUGUCUUUCAGAGCAGGCGGGUGGGCUCAUGGCCCUUCGGUGGUGCGGUGAUGCACGACACGCGCACCAUGCACAUUUCCGUUGCUCUUCUUUUUCCUCUACGCUCUGUGCCCCGGAUGACGAGUGGGGGGGCACACAUCUCCGUGCGCGGCAUCACGCGAUCCAGCGGCCCUCCCUCUCUCCCUGCCAAUGCCGAACCACCUCUGGCAGUGACAGGGUGAGGCGCCGACGACGUGGGGAGGUCCGAGCGACGUAUCGCUACGGGUGUCGGCGGCCAGGCCCUGGAUAGCAUUGCGCCGAAGCCACCUGAGUCGGCGCACACGUUUGUGCCAUCCACGCUGUAGGCAGGGCGGCGGCGUGGCUCGAGCGUAUCCCACCCCCGCCCCUCGCAGUGCCCACUGGUGGUGCGGGGAGCCUGCGUGCUGCCGCGCGGGGGAUGCACCAGGCGGCGACCUGCGGAGCGGGUGUGUGGGUAGAGCUUGAGGCAGGGGCCGUGCUCUCGGAUAAAUGAGUGGGCUCAUUGUGCUGUAGCGCGUGUGUCUAGGGCUGCUUCGCACCUCGCGAUGGGUGCCCAUGGCAGGGCUGGAGGCUCGAGAGUGGUGGCUCCCUCGUGCUGUAUGGCAGAGACAGGGGCACACGCUGAGG
rnacentral:misc_RNA from 1 species